CGGACCAUCAGAGUCCGUUGGGAUGUGGCCCAUAUUGGGCUGAACCGUAAA
rnacentral:ncRNA from 1 species